AACAAGAGGUCCUGGAGUCAGAUGACUGAGAGAAUGACAUGGCCUCAGUUGCGCGCAUUCACGUGAGAGGUAGCUGUGUUCCAUUACAUUUUUGAAGACAUUUGAAUCAUCCGGUUGGAAUAUUAUUGAAGAUUUAUGUUAAAAAGGCCCUAAUGAUUGAUGCUAUACAUCGUUUGACAUGUUUCUACGAACGUAAAUAGAACUUUUUUUUAGUUUUCGUCGUGAAAUUUUUGGCGUGCUUCCUACAUUUGGAGUAGCUUACUGAACGCGCUAACAAAAAGGAGAUCUGACACCCCUAUUAGCUCAACCACAGUCUUCACAGCUGCAGUCGUCUGCCCCUGCAUCUGCUACACCGGCCACGACAGGUGAUACAGGUCUGCCAACCCCCAGCAGUUCAGCUGCUGUCACAGCAGUCCUCUGCUGUAGUAUUUAAUUUACCGGCUGCACCAGUUCCUACUACACUGGGAGUGAAGGGAGAAACUUUUGAGGAUACCCAGAUGGAUACAUAUCUGCCAUGCACUUCACCACUGCCUGACAGCCUCACCCAGAAGUGCAUACACUGGGCCUAUCAAGACUGACAAAGCAGAGAUGGGUGGCUGACAAGGAAAAAUAAAAUAACAUGCACUCACACACAUUAUCCACAAAGUAAAUAAGUUGUAAUUACUUGUUUAUUUAAUGUUUGCUCCAUUUUAUUUUCAGAUUGGAGAUAUCUACUCCUUCAUAACCAAUAUCUACAUAAUUACUGUAAAUAUCUAUCAAAUCAAAGUGUGAAUGAUAAUAUUGUAAAAGACUAUGGCUUAAUGUUUACAGUUUGAGGAAAUUCUGUGUGCUUUUUUCAGAGUUGAAAAACAUGUCUCCCUCUCACAAACGCACAUUAGACCCAAUGUAAAUAAAUUGUAAUAAGUUGUUUGUUGUAUGUAUGCUACAUUUUAUUUGAGGAAAAUAUCUGCAAUAAAGUACAUUCACAGUUAAAGCAAUGUCUGGUUUAUUGGAUAUUUCUCUGAAUACAAUGUAUGACCAGAAGGA
rnacentral:lncRNA from 1 species